rnacentral:rRNA from 1 species
GGGUUGUGAGGUUAAGCGACUAAGCGUACACGGUGGAUGCCCUGGCAGUCAGAGGCGAUGAAGGACGUGCUAAUCUGCGAUAAGCGUCGGUAAGGUGAUAUGAACCGUUAUAACCGGCGAUUUCCGAAUGGGGAAACCCAGUGUGUUUCGACACACUAUCAUUAACUGAAUCCAUAGGUUAAUGAGGCGAACCGGGGGAACUGAAACAUCUAAGUACCCCGAGGAAAAGAAAUCAACCGAGAUUCCCCCAGUAGCGGCGAGCGAACGGGGAGCAGCCCAGAGCCUGAAUCAGUGUGUGUGUUAGUGGAAGCGUCUGGAAAGGCGCGCGAUACAGGGUGACAGCCCCGUACACAAAAAUGCACAUACUGUGAGCUCGAUGAGUAGGGCGGGACACGUGGUAUCCUGUCUGAAUAUGGGGGGACCAUCCUCCAAGGCUAAAUACUCCUGACUGACCGAUAGUGAACCAGUACCGUGAGGGAAAGGCGAAAAGAACCCCGGCGAGGGGAGUGAAAAAGAACCUGAAACCGUGUACGUACAAGCAGUGGGAGCACGCUUCGGCGUGUGACUGCGUACCUUUUGUAUAAUGGGUCAGCGACUUAUAUUCUGUAGCAAGGUUAACCGAAUAGGGGAGCCGAAGGGAAACCGAGUCUUAACUGGGCGUUAAGUUGCAGGGUAUAGACCCGAAACCCGGUGAUCUAGCCAUGGGCAGGUUGAAGGUUGGGUAACACUAACUGGAGGACCGAACCGACUAAUGUUGAAAAAUUAGCGGAUGACUUGUGGCUGGGGGUGAAAGGCCAAUCAAACCGGGAGAUAGCUGGUUCUCCCCGAAAGCUAUUUAGGUAGCGCCUCGUGAAUUCAUCUCCGGGGGUAGAGCACUGUUUCGGCAAGGGGGUCAUCCCGACUUACCAACCCGAUGCAAACUGCGAAUACCGGAGAAUGUUAUCACGGGAGACACACGGCGGGUGCUAACGUCCGUCGUGAAGAGGGAAACAACCCAGACCGCCAGCUAAGGUCCCAAAGUCAUGGUUAAGUGGGAAACGAUGUGGGAAGGCCCAGACAGCCAGGAUGUUGGCUUAGAAGCAGCCAUCAUUUAAAGAAAGCGUAAUAGCUCACUGGUCGAGUCGGCCUGCGCGGAAGAUGUAACGGGGCUAAACCAUGCACCGAAGCUGCGGCAGCGACACUAUGUGUUGUUGGGUAGGGGAGCGUUCUGUAAGCCUGUGAAGGUGUGCUGUGAGGCAUGCUGGAGGUAUCAGAAGUGCGAAUGCUGACAUAAGUAACGAUAAAGCGGGUGAAAAGCCCGCUCGCCGGAAGACCAAGGGUUCCUGUCCAACGUUAAUCGGGGCAGGGUGAGUCGACCCCUAAGGCGAGGCCGAAAGGCGUAGUCGAUGGGAAACAGGUUAAUAUUCCUGUACUUGGUGUUACUGCGAAGGGGGGACGGAGAAGGCUAUGUUGGCCGGGCGACGGUUGUCCCGGUUUAAGCGUGUAGGCUGGUUUUCCAGGCAAAUCCGGAAAAUCAAGGCUGAGGCGUGAUGACGAGGCACUACGGUGCUGAAGCAACAAAUGCCCUGCUUCCAGGAAAAGCCUCUAAGCAUCAGGUAACAUCAAAUCGUACCCCAAACCGACACAGGUGGUCAGGUAGAGAAUACCAAGGCGCUUGAGAGAACUCGGGUGAAGGAACUAGGCAAAAUGGUGCCGUAACUUCGGGAGAAGGCACGCUGAUAUGUAGGUGAAGUCCCUCGCGGAUGGAGCUGAAAUCAGUCGAAGAUACCAGCUGGCUGCAACUGUUUAUUAAAAACACAGCACUGUGCAAACACGAAAGUGGACGUAUACGGUGUGACGCCUGCCCGGUGCCGGAAGGUUAAUUGAUGGGGUUAGCGGUAACGCGAAGCUCUUGAUCGAAGCCCCGGUAAACGGCGGCCGUAACUAUAACGGUCCUAAGGUAGCGAAAUUCCUUGUCGGGUAAGUUCCGACCUGCACGAAUGGCGUAAUGAUGGCCAGGCUGUCUCCACCCGAGACUCAGUGAAAUUGAACUCGCUGUGAAGAUGCAGUGUACCCGCGGCAAGACGGAAAGACCCCGUGAACCUUUACUAUAGCUUGACACUGAACAUUGAGCCUUGAUGUGUAGGAUAGGUGGGAGGCUUUGAAGUGUGGACGCCAGUCUGCAUGGAGCCGACCUUGAAAUACCACCCUUUAAUGUUU